rnacentral:rRNA from 1 species
AGCGAACGCUGGCGGCAGGCCUAACACAUGCAAGUCGAACGGAUCCUUCGGGAUUAGUGGCGGACGGGUGAGUAACACGUGGGAACGUGCCCUUUGGUUCGGAACAACUCAGGGAAACUUGAGCUAAUACCGGAUGUGCCCUUCGGGGGAAAGAUUUAUCGCCAUUGGAGCGGCCCGCGUCUGAUUAGCUAGUUGGUGAGGUAACGGCCCACCAAGGCGACGAUCAGUAGCUGGUCUGAGAGGAUGAUCAGCCACACUGGGACUGAGACACGGCCCAGACCCCUAGGGGGGGAAGCAGGGGGGAAUCUUGCGCAAGGGGCGAAAGCCUGACGCAGCCAUGCCGGGGGAAUGAGGAAGGUCUUAGGAUUGAAAAAUUCUUUCAGCGGGGACGAUAAUGACGGUACCCGCAGAAGAAGCCCCGGCUAACUUCGU